rnacentral:rRNA from 1 species
GGCUUGUUGAUUAUAAUUUCAGGUCUGGCCUGCCCAGUGAGUGAUUAAACGGCCGCGGUAUAUUAACCGUGCAAAGGUAGCAUAAUCAUUAGUUUUUUAAUUGGAAGCUUGAAUGAAAGGUUUGAUGAAAGAAAGACUGUCUCUGUAAAAAUUUAUUAGAAUUUUAUUUUUAAGUUAAAAAGCUUAGAUUUAAAUAGAAGACGAGAAGACCCUAUAGAGUUUUAUAUUUAUAUAUAUAGGAGGGUUUUAAGUGAAAAAAUUUACUAUAAAUAUAAAUAUUUAGUUGGGGUGAUUAAAAAAUUAGUUGAACUUUUUUUACAUGGAAAUAUUGAUUUGUAGGUGAAUGAUCCUAAAGUUUAGAUUAAAAGACAAAAUUACCUUAGGGAUAACAGCGUAAUUUUUUUAAGAGUUCUUAUCGGAAAAAAAGAUUGCGACCUCGAUGUUGGAUUAAAAUUAAUUGUAGGUGAAGAAGCUUAUAUAUUAGGUCUGUUCGACCUUUAAAAUUUUACAUGAUCUGAGUUUAGACCGGCGUGAG